rnacentral:rRNA from 1 species
UACGUAGGGGGCAAGCGUUGUCCGGAAUCAUUGGGCGUAAAGAGCGUGCAGGCGGCCCGAUAAGUCCGCUGUGAAAGUCCAGGGCUCAACCCUGGAAUGCCGGUGGAUACUGUCGGGCUCGAAUCCGGAAGAGGUGAGUGGAAUUCCUGGUGUAGCGGUGAAAUGCGCAGAUAUCAGGAGGAACACCAAUGGCGAAGGCAGCUCACUGGGACGGUAUUGACGCUGAGACGCGAAAGCGUGGGGAGCAAACAGG